rnacentral:rRNA from 1 species
ACGCAGGUCGAAGCAUUCGACUUGCGAUUGAAAUGAGAACAAGGUAAAACGCUUAUCGAGUAGCCACUGGAGGGCAAGUCUGGUGCCAGCAGCCGCGGUAACUCCAGCUCCAGGAACGUGUGUUAAUGUUGUUGCUGUUAAAAAGCUCGUAGUUGGAUGUGUGUGGCGUUUGUACGAACUGGCCCGGCAGAAUGCUGUGUGCUGUUGUCGCGUCACAUUCCGCUCUGCUGUGGGGGCGCGCGCCUUCGUGUGUGCGCCACUUCUAAACCCGCGCAGGGCCGUUUACUUUGAGAAAAUGAGAGUGCUCCAAGCAGCCGAAUCACUUAUUCGGGCGUUGAAUCAUGCAGCAUGGGAUAAUGGAACAGGAUCUUGCUCCGCGUUUCGUUGGUUUUUGGGUGCGAGAUAAUGAUUAACAGACACGGGCGGGGGUACUGGUAUUCACAUGUCAGAGGUGAAAUUCAUGGAUUUUGUGAGGACCAACCUAUGCGAAAGCGUCUACCUAGGACGUUUUCAUUAAUCAAGAACGAAAGUUAGGGGAUCGAAGAUGAUCAGAUACCGUCGUAGUCCUAACCAUAAACGAUGCCGGCUAGGAAUUCGGAGACGUUACAAACCAUUUACGACUCCCCGAGCGCCUUUUGAGAAAUCAAAGCUUUUGGGUUCAGGGGGGAGUAUGGUCGCAAGGCUGAAACUUAAAAGAAUUGACGGAAGGGCACCACCAGGCGUGGAGCUUGCGGCUUAAUUUGACCCAACACGGGAAAACUUACCAGGUCCAGACAUAAGAAGGAUUGACAGAUUGAGAGCUCUUUCAUGAUUUUAUGGGUGGUGGUGCAUGGCCGAUCUUAGUUGGUGGAGUGAUUUGUCUGGUUGAUUCCGUUAACGAACGAGACCUCCGCAUGCUAACUAGUUACGCCGACCUUCUUUCGUGGGUGCAGCGGUGUUGGCGCGGCGGCGCCCUAGCGGGCCCGUCCGCCCGCCGUGAAUCCCCUGAUGCGUCGGCGGCUACACUUCUUAGAUGGACUCCUCGUGUCGAGCGAGGGGAAGUCGGAGGCAAUAUCAGGUCUGUAAUGCCCUUAGAUGUCCUGGGCGGCACGCGUGCUACACUGGAGGGCGCAACAAGUUUACACACCUUGGCCGAGAGGUCUGGGUAAUCUGCCAAUGCCCUCCGUGUUUGGGAUUGUCCCUUGCAAGUGGGACAUGAACGAGGAAUGCCUAGUAAGCGCGCGUCAUCAGCGCGCGUUGAUUACGUCCCUGCCCUUUGUACACACCGCCCGUCGCUCCUACCGAUUGGAAGGUCCGGUGAGAUCUCGGGAUCAGCCGCGCGUUCGCGUUGGGCAACCAACACGGCGCGGCCGAAAACUUGCUCAAACCUUAUCUUCU